CCUACGGGUGGCAGCAGUGAGGAAUAUUGGUCAAUGGGCUUACGCCUGAACCAGCCAAGUCGCGUGAGGGAAGACUGCCCUAUGGGUUGUAAACCUCUUUUGUCAGGGAGCAACGCCGGCUACGUGUAGCCGGACUGAGAGUACCUGCAGAAAAAGCAUCGGCUAACUCCGUGCCAGCAGCCGCGGUAAUACGGGGGAUGCGAGUGUUAUCCGGAUUUAUUGGGUUUAAUGGGUGCGUAGGCGGAAUGCCAAGUAAGCGGUAAAAUCGCGGGGCUCAACCUCGCUCCGCCGUUGAAACUGGCGUUCUUGAGUGGGGGAGAGGUAUGCGGAAUGCGUGGUGUAGCGGUGAAAUGCAUAGAUAUCACGCAGAACCCCGAUGGCGAAGGCAGCAUACCGGUGCACAACUGACGCUCAGGCACGAAAGCGUGGGUAUCGAACAGGAUUAGAUACCCUUGUAGUC
rnacentral:rRNA from 1 species